UACGGAAGGCAGCAGUGGGGAAUAUUGCACAAUGGGCGCAAGCCUGAUGCAGCCAUGCCGCGUGUAUGAAGAAGGCCUUCGGGUUGUAAAGUACUUUCAGUCGUGAGGAAGGUGUUAAGGUUAAUAACCUUAGCAAUUGACGUUAGCGACAGAAGAAGCACCGGCUAACUCCGUGCCAGCAGCCGCGGUAAUACGGAGGGUGCGAGCGUUAAUCGGAAUUACUGGGCGUAAAGGGCACGCAGGCGGUUAAUUAAGUUGGAUGUGAAAUCCCCGGGCUUAACCUGGGAAUGGCAUUCAAGACUGGUUAGCUAGAGUCUUGUAGAGGGGGUAGAAUUCCAUGUGUAGCGGUGAAAUGCGUAGAGAUGUGGAGGAAUACCGGUGGCGAAGGCGGCCCCUGGGACAAAGGACUGACGCUCAUGUGCGAAAGCGUGGGGAGCAAACGAGGAUUUAGAUACC
rnacentral:rRNA from 1 species